rnacentral:rRNA from 1 species
UACGUAGGCAGCAAGCGUUGUUCGGAGUUACUGGGCGUAAAGGGUGCGUAGGCGGUUGUUUAAGUUUGGUGUGAAAUCUCCCGGCUCAACUGGGAGGGUGCGCCGAAUACUGAAUGACUAGAGUGCGGGAGAGGAGAGUGGAAUUCCUGGUGUAGCGGUGAAAUGCGUAGAUAUCGGGAGGAACACCUGUGGCGAAAGCGGCUCAUUGGACCACAACUGACGCUGAGGCGCGAAAGCUAGGGGAGCAAACAGG